UCUACACACGGGUCAUUUGUAAUGAAAGAGUUUCCUUUAUAUCAUGCUGGUGCCUUGUUUGGUCUAAGUCUCUUAGUUUCAGCUGUGGUUUCUUUGUUUCAAAUACCAAUGUUUGCUUUGAUGGAGGGACCGUAUGGCGGUGAUCCAACUUGGGUGAAUGCUGGUUUGUUAGUUGUUCAAAUGGUAGUGAUGGUUCAUCCAAUAUAUUUAUGGAAAUGCGCCGGAACAAUAUCAAACCAUUAUCCAGAUCAAGUGGAUCUAAAAACU